CUGCACUGUUCGUAACUUGCUUCCAGCUCCUUUCUGGCGGCGGUUCCAUUCCAGUGCUAGAUAAUACCUGGCGGGGGGGUGUAAGUGGCAGCGGUGUAGUCCGGUCACUUCCCCCAGAAACCAGGAACACUU